ACAAAUAUUUAGAUACUUCUUUCCAGUAUGAAUUAUAUCUUUCUGUUUUGAAAUUUCACACUUUCUGUCAUUGUUUUCUAUGUAGAUUCUACUUGUUCUAAUAUUGUACACUCAGGCUCGUGUUUAUGCAGUAAAAUAUAAUAGGAAAAUGAUUGACACCAAUUUCAAAACUGAGACAGACAACAAAACUUGACUUUCAGCUAUAUUUGGAAAUUCUAAAUUUUCCUCUGAAAAUUCUGCAAAUUGCUCUCUAAAGCAGAGGCAAAAAGACCAACCUGAGAGACACUGCUGGAAUAAAUUAGAGGUGAGUGAGAAAAAGAUGGAAGGCUUACACCUUUGGCAUUGACCUCUAACAUAUUUGGUUAUAUGAUAACAUGAAUACUUAAUUUUGGAUAAUCUGAGCUUCUCUGUCAUUUAAUGAGUGAAUGUAACAAUCCACAGACCCAGGAUUUUUCAUUUCUUCUAGAAAUGUCAUCCAGGAAGAAGUUUCCCAAGCAUAUUUAAGUGAGCAUUUAAAUGGAAACAAAGUUGGGUUAAACGGGACCAUGCAGGUCUGCGGCUUGUCAGAAGGCUCUUGCUGUAGACUGACAACAAGCUGCUGUUAAGGAGGAGGCUUGCUCGGGAAACCUUCAGAUGAAAAGGAAAAGGAAACGUCACCAU